CCCUUAGAUGUUCUGGGCCGCACGCGCGCUACACUGACGAAUGCAACGAGCUUAUAACCUUGGCCGAAAGGUCUGGGUAAUCUCCAAAUUUCGUCGUGAUGGGGAUAGAUUAUUGCAAUUAUUAAUCUUCAACGAGGAAUGCCUAGUAAGCGCAAGUCAUCAGCUUGCGUUGAUUACGUCCCUGCCCUUUGUACACACCGCCCGUCGCUCCUACCGAUUGAAUGGUCCGGUGAAGCGUUCGGACCGUGGCCUUUGGACGGUUCGCCGUCUGUUGGCUGCGGGAAGUUCGUUAAACCUUAUCAUUUAGAGGAAGGAGUAGUCGUAACA
rnacentral:rRNA from 1 species